AUUGAACGCUGGCGGCAGGCCUAACACAUGCAAGUCGAGCGAGCGGCGGACGGGUGUGUAAUGUAUGGGGACUGCCCUAUAGAGGGGGAUAACUACUGGAAACGGUAGCUAAUACCGCAAACUAUCGGAUAACCUAUAUGGGAGUAGCUAGUAGGUGAGGUAAUGGCUCACCUAGGCGACGAUACCUAGCUGGUCUGAGAGGAUGAUCAGCAACACUGGGACGGGGACACGGCCCAGACUCCUACGGAGGCAGCAGUGGGGAAUAUUGCACAAUGGGCGAAAGCCUGAUGCAGCCAUGCCGCGUGUAUGAAGAAGGCCCUAGGGUUGUAAAGUACUUUCAGUCGGGAGGCGUUACCGACAGAAGAAGCACCGGCUAACUCCGUGCCAGCAGCCGCGGUAAUUC
rnacentral:rRNA from 1 species